rnacentral:rRNA from 1 species
AGUGAACGCUGGCGGUAGGCCUAACACAUGCAAGUCGAACGGCAGCACAGUAAGAGCUUGCUCUUACGGGUGGCGAGUGGCGGACGGGUGAGGAAUACAUCGGAAUCUACUUUUUCGUGGGGGAUAACGUAGGGAAACUUACGCUAAUACCGCAUACGACCUACGGGUGAAAGCAGGGGAUCUUCGGACCUUGCGCGAUUGAAUGAGCCGAUGUCGGAUUAGCUAGUUGGCGGGGUAAAGGCCCACCAAGGCGACGAUCCGUAGCUGGUCUGAGAGGAUGAACAGCCACACGGGAACUGAGAAACGGUCCAGACUCCUACGGGAGGCAGCAGUGGGGAAUAUUGGACAAUGGGCGCAAGCCUGAUCCAGCCAUACCGCGUAGGUGAAGAAGGCCUUCGGGUUGUAAAGCCCUUUUGUUGGGAAAGAAAAGCAGCAGGUUAAUACCCCGCUGUUCUGACGGUACCCAAAGAAUAAGCACCGGCUAACUUCGUG